GAUGAACGCUAGCUACAGGCUUAACACAUGCAAGUCGAGGGGCAUCAGGAAGAAAGCUUGCUUUCUUUGCUGGCGACCGGCGCACGGGUGAGUAACACGUAUCCAACCUGCCCUUUACUCGGGGAUAGCCUUUCGAAAGAAAGAUUAAUACCCGAUAGCAUAAUGAUUCCGCAUGGUUUCAUUAUUAAAGGAUUCCGGUAAAGGAUGGGGAUGCGUUCCAUUAGGUUGUUGGUGAGGUAACGGCUCACCAAGCCUUCGAUGGAUAGGGGUUCUGAGAGGAAGGUCCCCCACAUUGGAACUGAGACACGGUCCAAACUCCUACGGGAGGCAGCAGUGAGGAAUAUUGGUCAAUGGGCGGUAGCCUGAACCAGCCAAGUAGCGUGAAGGAUGAAGGCUCUAUGGGUCGUAAACUUCUUUUAUAUAAGAAUAAAGUGCAGUAUGUAUACUGUUUUGUAUGUAUUAUAUGAAUAAGGAUCGGCUAACUCCGUGCCAGCAGCCGCGGUAAUACGGAGGAUCCGAGCGUUAUCCGGAUUUAUUGGGUUUAAAGGGAGCGUAGGUGGACUGGUAAGUCAGUUGUGAAAGUUUGCGGCUCAACCGUAAAAUUGCAGUUGAUACUGUCAGUCUUGAGUACAGUAGAGGUGGGCGGAAUUCGUGGUGUAGCGGUGAAAUGCUUAGAUAUCACGAAGAACUCCGAUUGCGAAGGCAGCUCACUGGACUGCAACUGACACUGAUGCUCGAAAGUGUGGGUAUCAAACAGGAUUAGAUACCCUGGUAGUCCACACAGUAAACGAUGAAUACUCGCUGUUUGCGAUAUACAGUAAGCGGCCAAGCGAAAGCAUUAAGUAUUCCACCUGGGGAGUACGCCGGCAACGGUGAAACUCAAAGGAAUUGGCGGGGGCCCGCACAAGCGGAGGAACAUGUGGUUUAAUUCGAUGAUACGCGAGGAACCUUACCCGGGCUUAAAUUGCAGUGGAAUGAUGUGGAAACAUGUCAGUGAGCAAUCACCGCUGUGAAGGUGCUGCAUGGUUGUCGUCAGCUCGUGCCGUGAGGUGUCGGCUUAAGUGCCAUAACGAGCGCAACCCUUAUCUUUAGUUACUAACAGGUCAUGCUGAGGACUCUAGAGAGACUGCCGUCGUAAGAUGUGAGGAAGGUGGGGAUGACGUCAAAUCAGCACGGCCCUUACGUCCGGGGCUACACACGUGUUACAAUGGGGGGUACAGAAGGCAGCUAGCGGGUGACCGUAUGCUAAUCCCAAAAGCCUCUCUCAGUUCGGAUCGAAGUCUGCAACCCGACUUCGUGAAGCUGGAUUCGCUAGUAAUCGCGCAUCAGCCACGGCGCGGUGAAUACGUUCCCGGGCCU
rnacentral:rRNA from 1 species